CCCUGAUCUAUUACCCAAUCAAAAAAAUCAAUACGAUUAGUAUGGCAUGAUCUCCCUGCAGUAAACCCAUGUUGUCUCUGAUCUUGAAAUCCAUGUGAUUUUAGAUGUUCAGCAAGCCUUUCCUUUAAGAUGGUUUCCAUUAAUUUCCCCCACUACUGAAGUAAGGCUUACUGGCCUAUAGAUGCCCGACUCCUCCGUACUGCCUUUCUUGUGAAUGGGCACAGCAUUCGCUAACUUCCAAUCUUCUGGGACUACUGUUAACAAUGAUUGGUUAAAUAAAUCUGUUAAUUGUUUUGCUAGUACACCACUAAGCUAUUUUAAUAACUUUGGGUGUAUUCCAUCAGGUCCCAUUGACUUAUUUGUAUUUACUUUUGACAGUUGAAAUAUAACCUCUUCCUCUGUAAACUCACAUGUAACAAAUGACUCAUUUGUCCUUUUUCCUAACUGAGGUCCCUUUCCUUCAUUUUCAUCUGUAAAUACUGAACAAAAAAAUUCAUUGAGGCAGUCAGCAAGACCUUUAUCCUCUUCUACAUACCUUCCUUCUUUUGUUUUUAAUCUAACUAAUCCUUGUUUUACUUUCCGUUUGUCAUUUAUGUAUCUAAAAAAUGUUUUGUCCCCCUUUUUUUUUUUUUAACUGUCUGUGCUAUUUUCUCCUCUGUGUGUGAUUUGGAGGCUCGUAUAACUUGCUUAGUCUCUUUCUGUCUAAUCUUAUGGAUCUGUG